CAUGCAGUCGAGCGGAACGAUGGGAGCUUGCUCCCGGGCGUCGAGCGGCGGACGGGUGAGUAACACUUAGGAAUCUACCUAGUAGUGGGGGAUAGCUCGGGGAAACUCGAAUUAAUACCGCAUACGUCCUACGGGAGAAAGGGGGCAACUUGUUGCUCUCGCUAUUAGAUGAGCCUAAGUCGGAUUAGCUAGUUGGUGGGGUAAAGGCCUACCAAGGCGACGAUCUGUAGCUGGUCUGAGAGGACGAUCAGCCACACCGGGACUGAGACACGGCCCGGACUCCUACGGGAGGCAGCAGUGGGGAAUAUUGGACAAUGGGGGCAACCCUGAUCCAGCCAUGCCGCGUGUGUGAAGAAGGCCUUUUGGUUGUAAAGCACUUUAAGCAGUGAAGAAGACCUAACGGUUAAUACCCGUUAGCGAUGACAUUAGCUGCAGAAUAAGCACCGGCUAACUCUGUGCCAGCAGCCGCGGUAAUACAGAGGGUGCAAGCGUUAAUCGGAAUUACUGGGCGUAAAGCGAGCGUAGGUGGCUUGAUAAGUCAGAUGUGAAAUCCCCGGGCUUAACCUGGGAACUGCAUCUGAUACUGUUAGGCUAGAAUAGGUGAGAGGAAGGUAGAAUUCCAGGUGUAGCGGUGAAAUGCGUAGAGAUCUGGAGGAAUACCGAUGGCGAAGGCAGCCUUCUGGCAUCAUAUCGACACUGAGGUUCGAAAGCGUGGGUAGCAAACAGGAUUAGAUACCCUGGUAGUCCACGCCGUAAACGAUGUCUACUAGUCGUUGGGUCCCUUGAGGACUUAGUGACGCAGCUAACGCAAUAAGUAGACCGCCUGGGGAGUACGGCCGCAAGGUUAAAACUUAAAUGAAUUGACG
rnacentral:rRNA from 1 species